CCUGGAAACGACAAGUGGCUCAUCAGGUUAAUUAUUAAUCAUUGAGAAGACUGCAGAGAGGAAUCCUCCUCCUUGCGUCGGUUUCCUCAUUACUGAGGGUCGUGGUCAUGGCCUUGAAACAGAUUGUUUUUUAUAGUGCACCGCCAUCUGUUCCUAUCUGCAGCUGAGUGCAGAGCAUCGUGCACUGUGGUAUCCAGGGCUGCACGAAUCUGGUCGCCGUGAAAUUUGGAACGUCUUGUGGUGACCGGUAAAAUCGAGGGGAAAAGGCCUAGGGGUAGAGGUCCCAAACGACGGUCGGACCAAAUAGCGGAGGAACUGGGGGUACCUGUCAGCGACGCACUCCACCGGGCUACAGAACAGCAUCGAUGGAGACAGCUAGUUGACGGAAUCGGACGGAAUCACCAUCCUCAGCAAUGAGGGACCGAUUGAAGAGACCUCACCAUGAAUGAGGAAUGAAAUACUGAUGGUGCGGCGUGUUUCUGAUCUUUGAUGUGAUGAUCUCAAGAUUUCCGGUAUUUAAAGGAAAAAUUAGGACUGUUAUUUUUUGUGUUAUAAUUUAUGCGCCAUUGGAGAUAAAUUUACAAGCUCUCUGUUAUUGAAAAUAAAUUAUCUCAAAACAGUAAA